UUUUUUAUUUUUAUUUUUUUUAAUUAGAGACGACCGUCAAGAAAGGUAUAAACUUUAAACCUUUGCACAUGGAUCCAAUUCUUCAGGUGGACUCCCACAUACCUGCCCAAAAACGUUCCAGGCACCUGAUCUAGAUAUUCAGCAUAGAUAUGAACUUGCCAGCUCUCUUCACAGUCUAAAGCCAGAGGGCAGCAUCCUAAAAGACAGAUUUAAGAGUUUACAGAAGAGAAACACUGAGGCCAGAGAAAGAGCCAAGUUUAAGAGGAAGUAUAAGCUGAAGUACUCAGAGAAGAGGGCCUUCAGGGAGAUACAGUGACCGCACAAGUUGUUUUCUUUCAGUCCUCCAACAAAUUAUGGGGUGCUAUUCAUGUUGCAAUAAAAAAAAAGCUUAUAUUACAACAACCUCUCGUCUUAACGGUUUUUCUGAAAACUUCAACUGCUGUUUGCGAUGUUGUUGCAAAGCAGAAAGUAUGCUUAAGUUUCCCCAUUCAGCAAGUCAAAGGUGACCGUGGCAGUGGGGAAAGAAAAUCCAUAAAAUAUGAAGAUGGAAAAAAAGAAA